AACGUAGGAGACAAACGUUAUCCGGAGUUACUGGGCGUAAAGGGCGUGUAGGUGGUUUCGUAAGUCUGGCGUGAAAUUUCUCGGCUUAACCGAGGCAGGUCGUCGGAUACUGCGGAACUUGAGGACGGUAGAGGCGUGUGGAAUUCCGGGUGUAGUGGUGAAAUGCGUAGAGAUCCGGAGGAACACCAGUGGCGAAGGCGGAUCUCUGGACAGUUACUGACACUGAGGCACGAAGGCCAGGGGAGCAAACGGG
rnacentral:rRNA from 1 species